AGUUUAUGGCUGCUAUUCAACUUUGUAGUUAUUUUGCCUUUUAAACUCUUUUGAUUCAGUGUCAGUGAUGAGUCCAUUGUAAACGAAACUCGCGUCUGGCGUUCAAAAUCCUAAUCCUGGUACCUCUGAUGAGUUUAUUUAGACCUAACGACACACCACUUGACAGAAAUGUAUAAAAAGUACCUGCAGAUAUUUAGAGGAUAUAUUCUCUGUACACAAACCAUAUUUGUACCUAAUAUUCAGAAAGUAUUAAAAAGAAGAAUGUUUUAGAUAUCUGAUGAAAAAUUAAAUUGAUGUGACAAGCAAAAAGUGUAAAAAUAUAAUUUAGCAUAAAAUCGUUAAAAUGUUUCGCUUCGCUAUGGUUUGCAUUAUAAGUACAAUAAUUGACACAUGUGCCUAACCCCUUCCUCGAACUCUAGAUCAGCACCUGCAGAAGGUUCGAGAUACAAAAAAAGUCAGGAGAUUUUGAGCAUAUAACAAAACAAAUAUAUGAGGUGCUCAUUAUAUGCAUUUGCCACAAACAUCCGUCUAUGGUUUAAAAACCAAAUCCAAUUCAUAUAUUGAUGCAUGCCAAAAUCCCUACCCAUUUUUAUACUUCAUAGGAAAAUCACAACCUUUUAUAUAUUUCCCAGUAAUUAGACAUACAAUUGGUGACAUCUAAAUUACAUAUUAACAACACAGGAUCAUUCAUACUUACAAGGUUCCAUCGAAUGAAUGUCCCAGUGCUGUUUGAAUGCUUUCAAAGAAGAUACCAAUCCCGACUGGUUACAAAUGUAGCCCUCUCGUCUGAUACGUUACACUCUAGGGCUUUAAAAGGAAAAGAUCUAAAAUAAAUUGAUCAUGUUGAUCCCCUUAUUUUUUCAGAAUUGUCAUUUAUAAUAGGAGAUAAUGUACCAUACCAAUAGGGCCUUAGCUACCUUUCUAGCCAACGUAAUUUGAUGUCAGUUGUCACAAACUUUAUUCCUACAAGGAACAUUUUUUUGUUCUCCAUUGUAUUCUAUUUAAUUCCAGUAAGCUGUACACAUACAAAAUAUGUAUUGGCGUAGUUUUUCUUUCACAUUCGAAAAGUAGAGUCGAAAUCUUUCCAUUUCAUGCCUGAUUAUGUAAUUAUAUAAUUAAUAUAUAUCGAACACUAUAUAUAUAUUAGUUGUAUUAAUUAUUGGUAAUGAAUAAUUUGUUUUCAGUCGAGUCUAUAUUAUUUAAUUGUUUUUCCCAAAGUCAGUGAUCCGCUUAAUAACUGUGUAAUACUUCUAUAGUUUUAAUUGUAAUGAGUUGUAAUACAAAAUAGAACACCACACUAAAAACACUUGCAUGCAUAUUAGAGGGAAUGGAUACAAGCAAUGUAAUAAGCGGCUCUGAAGAUAGCGAAAUACAGAAAACCCAAUCUGAGGAUAAGGGAGAGACGAUUACCUCAAAUAAGCGGAGAAAUUCACGAUCACCGUCACUGACAGAUGAACCAGUUAUAAAGAAAAUCAAAACUGAUUGUGAUAAAUCUGAGGCUGCUGAAGAGAACAACGAGGAAAAUAUAACACAACCUGUGAAAAGGAGAAAAGAAGCGGUAAAGCUUCCAAAGUUGUACCGAUUACUUCAUGAGGAUGAAGAUGUAACCGAGGAAUUAACAGCAAGAUCACCGGAUGCGACGACUGACGUCGCUACCUAUGUUGCAACCGGAAGUCAAAAAGGAAGAUACUCUAGGUAUAUUUCAACAUGUGCGUCACUUGCGAACGCAGAAAAAAUAAGAAAUUUAAAGCUUAAAAGUGGACUUUAAUGGGGUAUGAAGCACAUUGCUGAAAUCGACGUUGGUAGUUUAUCAGAUGAUGUAGAAAUAAUUGAUUUGCGAACAAAAAUGUUGAGAAGAAAAUACGAAAUAAGUGACAUUGAGACAAAUGAAAAAUUCCACAAAUAUGCACGAAGUCACCAGGAAGUUUUAUUGGUUGGUACAGUACCAAAAGAAUGUUGGAAGUUACUAGAAUUCGAUGGCGAUGUUCCAUCAUCGGAUAGUGAUUAUAAUUAAUUUGAAACAUAUAAUUUGCGUUGGUAUUCAUUUCGAUAAGGAAUAAUGUUUAAUAAUAUGAACUUUUAUAAAACAAAAAUAUAACGGAUGUGAGCUUCAUCUUCAUUACAAUUCUUCCAAAUCAAACUAAAACAUUUGAAAGAAAAUCCCCUAGAAGAUAUCUUAAAAAGUGACAUGAACUGUAAUAUUUCUUGUAAGUGCUUAAAGCUGAUACAAAAAAAAAAUAACUGAUCUGUGUUGUCCAGUUUUGAUUGUUUGUUGAUAAUUUGCAAAGAGAUUUCUGUGAACAUUUGCAAGACCCAGUAAUAAAAUAAGGACAGUUAUUCAAUUCGGGUAUCCAGUAGUGCAAAGAACGAUCCAGGUUUUAAUUUUUGAUUGAAAUUUCAAGGAAACGUAAAUAAAACUUAUGGCUGCCGAAGAUUUACGCAAAUUAUAAUUCCUUUCCCAUAAAGUUUUAAUUAAAUAAUAUGUAUUUAUUUCUAUUCCCUCUUUCUGUAACAUUCCUGUCUAUACACACAGGGAAACUAUAGAUGUUUUACAUGUACUUUGGUUAUAUAUAAACAAUACCUAAUAAUGCAAAUGUAUCUACAUUAAAUGUCUUACAAUUAAUAA